UACGUAGGGACCAAGCGUUGUUCGGAAUCAUUGGGCGUAAAGCGCACGUAGGCGGCUUUGCAAGUCAGGUGUGAAAGCCUGGGGCUCAACCCCAGAAGUGCAUUUGAAACUGCAGAGCUUGAGUCUUGGAGAGGGCAGUGGAAUUCCGAGUGUAGAGGUGAAAUUCGUAGAUAUUCGGAGGAACACCAGUGGCGAAGGCGACUGCCUGGACAAAGACUGACGCUGAGGUGCGAAAGCGUGGGGAGCAAACAGG
rnacentral:rRNA from 1 species